UCUCCGUUGGUGAACCAGCGGAGGGAUCAUUACCGAGUUUACAAACUCCCAAACCCUUUGUGAACCUUACCUAUCGUUGCUUCGGCGGGAUCGCCCCGGCGCCUUCGGGCCCGGAACCAGGCGCCCGCCGGAGGCCCCAAACUCUUAUGUCUUUAGUGGUUUUCUCCUCUGAGUGACACAUAAACAAAUAAAUAAAAACUUUCAACAACGGAUCUCUUGGUUCUGGCAUCGAUGAAGAACGCAGC
rnacentral:misc_RNA from 1 species